rnacentral:rRNA from 1 species
GAUGAACGCUGGCGGCGUGCCUAAUACAUGCAAGUCGAACGAGGAGCUUUUGUAGCAAUACGAGAGAUUUCCUAGUGGCGAACGGGUGAGUAACGCGUUGGUGACCUGCCCCGAAGUUUGGGAUAACCCCGCGAAAGCGGGGCUAAUACCGAAUGUGGUCAUCGGAAUUAGAAUUCGAUGACUAAAGGAGUAAUCCGCUUUGGGAGGGGCCUGCGUCCCAUCAGCUAGUUGGUAGGGUAACGGCCUACCAAGGCGACGACGGGUAGGGGGCCUGAGAGGGUGGCCCCCCACAAUGGAACUGAAACACGGUCCAUACACCUACGGGUGGCAGCAGUAGGGAAUAUUGCACAAUGGGCGAAAGCCUGAUGCAGCAACGCCGCGUGCGCGAUGAA